ACCCUCGGCAUACUGCUCAGUAACACGCGGACAAUCUGCCCUUCGGUGGGGGAUAAUCUCGGGAAACUGAGCAUAAUACCCCAUAGGUCACGGAUGCUGGAAUGCUUCGUGGCUGAAAGCUCCGGCGCCAAAGGAUGAGUCUGCGGCCUAUCAGGUAGUAGUGGGUGUAACGGACCCACUAGCCAGUGACGGGUACGGGCGUUGGGAGACGUCGCCCGGAGAUGGAUUCUGAGACACGAAUCCAGGCCCUACGGGGCGCAGCAGUCGCGAAAACUUGUCAAUGCGGGAAACCGCGAACAGGGGAGUCCAAGUGCAUGCGCUAUGCGGAUGCUGUUCGGUUGCCUAAAAAGCAGCUGAAGGAAGGGCUGGGUAAGACAGGUGCCAGCCGCCGCGGUAAUACCUGCAGCCCGACGUGGUGGUCGAUAUUAUUGAGCCUAAAGCGUCCGUAGCCGAUCUAGUAAACCCCUUGGGUAAAUCGGAGAGCUUAACCUUCUCCGAAUUCCGAGGGGACUGCUAGAUUUGGGACCGGGAGAGGUCAGAGGUACUCCGGGGGUAGGGGCUAAAUGCACGAUGGGCCGUAUUUACGGUUACCCAUCAUGCUUAGCAUUCCUGUAAUCCUCGGGGGACCACCAGUGGCGAAGGCGUCUGACUAGAACGGAUCCGACGGUAAGGGACGAAACCCUGGGGCGCGAACCGGAUUAGAUACCCGGGUAGUCCAGGGCGUAAACGCUGCAGGCUUGGUGUUGGGGGUCCUACGAGGGCGCCCAGUGCCGGAGUGAAGAUGUUAAGCCUGCCGCUUGGGGAGUACGUCCGCAAGGAUGAAACUUAAAGGAAUUGGCGGGAGAGCACAGCAACGGGAGGAGCGUGCGGUUCAAUUGGAUUCAACGCCGGAAAACUCACCGGGAGCGACGAUUACAUGAAGGUCAGGCUGAUGACCUUACCUGAUUUUUCGAGAGGUGGUGCAUGGCCGUCGUCAGUUCGUACCGUAAGGCGUUCUGUUAAGUCAGAUAACGAACGAGACCCUCGUCCUUAAUUGCCAGUUCAUUCUCCGGAAUGGGCGCACAUUAAGGGGACCGCUGGCGCUAAGUCAGA
rnacentral:rRNA from 1 species